AUUGCAUCAUUUUUCUAUUUUGGUCUUUUGUUUUUCCUGUGCUUUGGCAUGUGAUUCUUUUAUCAGGAUGGUUACCUUAAAAUAUUGGGAGGGUAUUUGGAGAAAUCUAACAUGUUGAGGCAACCCUUCACAAGGCAAGAGAACCCUUUCAUCCAAACCUGUCUUCUUGCAUCCUCUGCAUAGCCUUUAGCGGUAACAUAUAGACGCCUACAAAAUUCUAUCAGCAGAUUUUUUGGAAUUUCUGUUUAUACAGGGCCCAUCAAAUUUAUGAGUACCGAGAAUUGUGCACCGAUUUGAUGCGUCAUUCCAUCUUGAGCAGGUCAUGACUUUCACCCCUAAACAUUUACUUAUUUAUGUUAAUAUCAAAUAAAUAAUAUGCUUCAAAUGUUAAUUUGCAGAACGUCAUUGAGGUUCCUUUUGCUUAUCAUAGACAAUGGUCCUCAAAUUAUCCAAGUUAUGUGUUAUUUGACUACGAAGGAGACAAACACUUUAUAAAGCUUCAUAAAUAUGGUAACCGAUUCUUUUUUGGCGAUGGACUGAAGGAACUUAGGAGAACCCAUGGCAUUCACAAAAGUGUUCUGAUGCAUUUUGUUGGAAGGGACAAAAAUACUACUUUCAGUGUGGACAUUGUGGGACCUCUACACCAAAGGGCAGCCACAACCAUAAGGCACCAUGUUUUUACCAUUGAUGUCUCUGAAGAUAUGAUACAACACAAUUAUCAAUUGGUUCUGCCACCAGAGGCUUCAAUUUAUUUAACUGCAUCAAAAAAAUAUAUGAUUGUAGAUCGUGGUAGUGGUAGGCAUCACAAAUGGAUGAUCACCAUGAAUAAUGGCCUAUCAUGUGUUGCUGACGCGUGGAUCCAUUAUUUAGGUGACUGUCAUUUAAAGCCUGGAGAUGAGGUCAUCUUCUUCUACAACAUUGACCAACAUUUAUGGGAGGUCCUCUAUAGGAAGUGUCGCAACCUACCCUUCCGCGGGAGGGCGACGCGGGACUCGCGGGAUGCGUGUUCCACGAAAGGAAUACGCGCGGAGUCGCCACCAACGUUUAUUUGAGGAAAACGUCGGAAAA